rnacentral:rRNA from 1 species
CAGUAGCCGCGGUAAUACAGUGGAUGCAAGCGUUAUCCGGAAUGAUUGGGCGUAAAGCGUCUGUAGGUGGCUUUUCAAGUCCGCUGUCAAAUCCCCGGGCUCAACCCUGGACAGGCAGUGGAAACUACCAAGCUGGAGUACGGUAGGGGCAGAGGGAAUUUCCGGUGGAGCGGUGAAAUGCGUAGAUAUCGGAAGGAACACCUGUGGCGAAAGCGGCUCACUGGACCAUUUCUGACGCUGAUGCACGAAAGCUAGGGGAGCAAACAGGAUUAGAUACCCCCGUAGUCCCUGUCUCUUAUAC